GCUGUAGAUGAGUGGCAGAGCAGGGGACUCAUGAUCCCAAAGGUUGCGGGUUCGAACCCC
rnacentral:tRNA from 11 species